rnacentral:sRNA from 1 species
GCAUGUAGAAGAUUUGGCUCUAGCAUCUGUCCCCAAAUUAAUUGCCUGGGUUGAUUUGGCUGGUCUAAUUGGCUAGACCCCUUUCUUUCUCACGGCUCCCUGGGUAUUUCUCCAUAUGGAGUUAUUUAAUUAGACAGAAAUAAAACUCCUCAUUCAUUCAUUCAGCAAAGAUUUAUUAGUUGUCUGCUAUGUGCACACUGUUGGUACAGAAGGAAGACAGACACACUGUCAUGAUGAGCGAGCAGUGAGUGUCAUUUGCA